UCCUGCAGUUCUCGCCUGGUUUCCCACUGAAGCUAAGCAUGGUUGAGCCUGGCCAGUACUGGGAUGGGAAACCUCCUGGGGAAAACUAAGGUUUCUGCUGGAA
rnacentral:rRNA from 1 species